rnacentral:misc_RNA from 1 species
AACGCACGAGACCUGCGGACCUGCGGAGGGAUCAUUAUAGAAAAAAACCUUUUAACAGAAGUGAUGGUGAGAGAGAAGGGAAAAAAAGAGGGGGGGAGGAAAGGGAGGAGAGAGAGAGAGAGAGAGAGAGGAGGAGUUAACUCACGUUUUCUCACUCACUCACUUUCUCUCACUCACUCACUCACUCACUCACUCUCUCUCUCUUCUCUCUCUUGUCAUUUCUGAACAAACAAACAUACG